GCGCCCGUAGCUCAGCUGGAUAGAGCAUCCGCCUUCUAAGCGGACGGUCACAGGUUCGAAUCCUGUCGGGCGCGCCA
rnacentral:tRNA from 1 species